rnacentral:rRNA from 1 species
CAAUAGCGUAUAUUAAAGUUGUUGCAGUUAAAAAGCUCGUAGUUGGAUCUGUGGUGUGCGGUGGGCUCCGGGCACUUGUUGUCUGAGUAGCUCGCCGCUGCCAUCCUUGGGUGGAACCUGUGUGGCAUUAGGUUGUCGUGCAGGGGAUGCCCAUCGUUUACUGUGAAAAAAUUAGAGUGUUCAAAGCAGGCUUAUGCCGUUGAAUAUAUUAGCAUGGAAUAAUGAGAUAGGACUUUUUCGCUAUUUUGUUGGUUUGCGCGAAGAGGUAAUGAUUAAUAGGGACAGUUGGGGGUAUUCGUAUUCCAUUGUCAGAGGUGAAAUUCUUGGAUUUUUGGAAGACGAGCCACUGCGAAAGCAUUUACCAAGGAUGUUUUCAUUAA